rnacentral:rRNA from 1 species
UAUCUCUGUAGAGUCUGCAUAUCAAUAAGCGGAGGAAAAGAAACUAACAAGGAUUCCCUUAGUAACGGCGAGUGAAGCGGGAAGAGCUCAAAUUUGAAAUCUUCAAGGUUUCUACCUUGACGAAUUGUAGUUUAAAGAAGUGUUUUCUGUUGAAGUUAGGUAAAAGUUCCUUGGAAUAGGACAUCAUAGAGGGUGAGAAUCCCGUAUUUGGUUAUUCAUUCUAGCUGUGUGAUACACUUUCAAAGCGUCGGAUUGUUUGGGAAUGCAGUCCAAAAUGGGUGGUAAAUUUCAUCUAAAGCUAAAUAUUGGCGAGAGACCGAUAGCGAACAAGUACCGUGAGGGAAAGAUGAAAAGAACUUUGAAAAGAGAGUUAAACAGUACGUGAAAUUGUCAAAAGGGAAGCGUUUGACACCAGUGUUGUUUUUCCGAAAAUCAAUUACGAAUGGCUUGAUUCUGUGUUGUAUUGACCUUAUCAGCUUUCUUCACUUUUUUCGAGUCUUUCUUAAUGCACUUUUCGGUUAACAAGUCAACAUCAAUUUCUUUUGUUGUAAAAGAGUAUUCGGAAGGUGGCUUUCUUUUCGGAGAAAGUGUUUAUAGCCCUAUACUUCUACAAUCGGAGAGAUUGAGGUCUACAGCGUAGAUCCUUCGGGGUUAGAUACAUUUGUGCUAAGUUGUAGCUUUUCAUAGACAACUUGUUGACUAUGUUUAGUCAUGCGGCUUACUCGCUUAUGCUAUUUUACCUACGCUUAGGAUGUUGAAGAUGUAGCACAUCAU